rnacentral:rRNA from 1 species
UACGAAGGGUGCAAGCGUUACUCGGAAUUACUGGGCGUAAAGCGUGCGUAGGUGGUUCGUUAAGUCUGUCGUGAAAGCCCCGGGCUCAACCUGGGAAUGGCGAUGGAUACUGGCGGGCUAGAGUGCGGUAGAGGAGAGUGGAAUUCCCGGUGUAGCAGUGAAAUGCGUAGAUAUCGAGAGGAACACCAGAGGCGAAGGCGAGUCACUGGACAGAUUCUGACGCUGAGGCACGAAAGCCAGGGGAGCAAACGGG